rnacentral:rRNA from 1 species
CCUACGGGAGGCAGCAGUGAGGAAUAUUGGUCAAUGGGCGCUAGCCUGAACCAGCCAAGUAGCGUGAAGGAUGAAUGCCCUAUGGGUUGUAAACUUCUUUUAUAUGGGAAUAAAGUGCAGUAUGUAUACUGCUUUGCAUGUACCUUAUGCAUAAGGAUCGGCUAACUCCGUGCCAGCAGACGCGGUAAUACGGCGGAUCCGAGCGUUAUACGGAUUUAUUGGGUUUAAAGGGAACGUAGGCGGGUUGUUAAGUCAGUUGUGAAAGUUUGGGGCUCAACCUGAAAAUUGCAGUUGAUACUGGCAGCCUUGAGUACAGUAGAGGUAGGCGGAAUGCGUGGUGUAGCGGUGAAAUGCGUAGAGAUCACGAAGAACUCCGAUUGCGAAGGCAGCCUGCUGGACUGUAACUGACGCUGAUGCGCGAAAGUGUGGGGAUCAAACAGGAUUAGAUACCCGGGUAGUC